CUUUAUUGGAGAGUUUGAUCCUGGCUCAGGAUGAACGCUGGCGGCGUGCCUAAUACAUGCAAGUCGAGCGAAUGGAUUGAGAGCUUGCUCUCAAGAAGUUAGCGGCGGACGGGUGAGUAACACGUGGGUAACCUGCCCAUAAGACUGGGAUAACUCCGGGAAACCGGGG
rnacentral:rRNA from 1 species